AAAGAAAGUUGAUAAAAGAGAACAUGAUUGGAAAUGUAGGUCACGCAUAUCAAUCAUGCACACAACUCAAUAAAUUCAAAUGCGGAGAUCCUGUGGUUAGUAGUAUUACGUAGCUAGCCAUGAAAAAUGUUGUGGUCAGUAGUAUUACGUAGCUAGCCAUGAAAAAUGUUAUGGAGAAUGAGAGCACCAUGAAAGGAAUAAUAAUAUCAAGUGACAGUCAUGAACACCACCACCAUCAACAAGAACAACAGGAAGAAGAAGGAGGAAACCAGCAUCAAACUAAGCUGGCCACUAAUUUUUUGCUGCAUACUAUUACUAGCUGGUCAAGUAGGAGGUCCAUUACUACUAAGGCUUUACUUCUCCCACGGUGGUCAAAGAAAUGGUUAUCAAGUUCGUUACGAAAUGCAGCUUUUCCAUUUCUUCUCAUUCCAAUCUUGCUUUCGUGGUUUAAAUCGAAGUCAAAAUCAAAAUCUUAUGAUUCUCAAUCAUUAUCAACAAAUGAUGUAAACCUGUCGACUAACCAAAACCUAAGAUUUUUUGUCACUCGUAAACUUUUCAUAUCGAGUGUUAUCCUGGGCAUUAUGUUUGGCCUAGACGGUUUUCUAUAUUCUCUUGGUUCAAGUUAUCUCCCUGUUUCAACUUCUGCAUUGUUGAUGGCUACUCAACUUGCUUUUACUGCUGUGUUUGCUUUAGUUCUUGUUAAGCAGAAGUUUACCCCGUGUAGUGGCGUAAAACCACACACCACAUCCAACGAAGUAGAAGAUGAUUUAACACAAAGUGAAGAUACACCACAAAUGUAGACACAAGGAUGUACAUGGUUCGGUAUGAUUAUCUACGUCCACAGGGUGAAAGGAUGAAUGUUAUUACUUAUUUUCUUUGAUUACAAGGUGUUUUCUCCUUCUCAAAUGGUGCAGCUCUCAAACUCUCAAAUGUAGUGUCUUGUUUCUCUCUCUUUCCACCUCCCUCUCUCUCUCGACCAGCCCUUGUAUUUAUAGGCCAAGGUCGACAUACAACAGAAUUACAAUGUUGGUCACAUUACAUCAGUUUAGAUGUUCCCUAUCGGGCCUGUGUUGGAGCUCCCCCAUCUUUCUGGUAUGGCCGAUAGAGUCUUGGUCUUUGAUAGUUCUUCACCCAAGGCCGAGUCCUGAUCGUCUGGUUGACACGAUGUCGCCCUUCUUUCUUAUCGUCCCAUUGUUUUACCAGAUCCCUUUGUCUGACCCAGUGCUUUCUGAUCGUCCGUCCGAAUUGUCAGAGGAUAAGGGUCACGUCCCAUCCGGAAACUAUAGGGCCAUCACGUCCGACCCACGUGACACCUCGCUCUUUGUGCUAUUUGGUUCUAUCCUGUGCUUCGCCGCUCUUUCCUCUUCGGUGUAUCAUAGCUUAAGAUCUUGCCAAAUAGCCCUGUGGAUUAUAUACACCUACAUUUAUGCCCCUUAUUUCGCUCGUGUGCUUGACACGAGGGAAAGAAAAUCGUUCCAUCUUCCCACGUCCUUGAGCAUGCCGAGAAUUCCUCCAUGCAGUUCCCCACUAAACAUCCCAUUAUGACUUGUAACCGCUGAUGUCGGUCAAGACACUUCAUCCUAUAAAUAUCUCCCUUUAUGCUCUCUUUCCUCUAUUCGCCAUUUUCAGAAAACCAAGCGUUGUUCUUUCUUCUUUUUCACUUUCCUUCCUUACCGACGCCAUUAACUCCGGUGACCCUUUUAUCUUCUCAGUCUUCAUCUUCGUUGUUUCUGUUGGUGAGGAUUGCGACAGUCGUGGUCGGUUCUUCUUUUUACUUCUCUCUCCAUCAAAGUUCAUAUCUCUCUGUUCGCUUUCUGCCAUGGCUACUUCUUCUCCGUCAAUGACUGAAAAAAUGUGCGUGAGUGAUACCUUCUCCGAGGGAGAUGUUGUUUCUCUUGAUUCCUUAUUUUGGCUUGAGAGUCCUUCCCAUCACGAUUAUCGUGCUAUAAAUUCCCUUUUUCCUGAUGAUUCUCCCUCUUUUAAAUGUAGGGUUGUUAAGAGAGUCUCCAAAGACUUGUCUGAUGAUUAGUUUAUUGAACAGUUGAAGGAAGAAUUCGGUCUUAAAAACUAUGAAGUGACCCUAGUCUCGGGGCAAACGGGUGUGUUGAAGAAAACCGAUGUCGAUAAGCAUGAGCAGUCGUCCGAGGCGGUCAUCGUCACUCGUGGGCAGCUGGAACUUGGCCUUCGCUUUCCUCUAUACAACCAUGUCAUCCCUUUAUACUAUGAGGUAUUGUCGCAGCUUCGUCCAUAUCGGGCCUUGACUCAGUGGAAUAGCAACAGUUUCCGUCUGAUGAAUGAGUGGAGAGAUUGAGGCGAGGGUUGCGGAUCUACGGACGGUUGGUCGAUCUAUAAGCCUGGAGACGCUCCCGAUUACACUUCUGCCAAUUUUAUAGUGAACUACCGGAGCGGGGCAGCUACCAAUGGCGACCUUGCUGGUUUUGCUGCUAGCCCUCACCGUCAGAAAUCUAUGCCCGAGGGUGUUGACAGAUUGAUGCUAGAUGCUUAUCCCCUUGGUAAAGGUUCCAACAAGCGUGCUCGCCACACCAAUGACCCAUACUGGGACCGAGUUCCACUUCUUGUUCGCGGCUAAAUUUUGCAUGGUAGCUUUCCUCCUCCUCAAUUUCCUGCAGAGCCUUAUCCAUUCUGGGUGAUUAACGAUGAUAAGGUUAAGCCUUAGAGCGAGUCUACCAAAUUGGAUUAUAUUUCCAAGAAGAGGAAUGCUGGCACAAGGGUCGAGGAGGAUCAGGGGAAGAAAUUCCCUCGAUGCGAGGAUGAAGAUGUUGGAGGGUCCGAUACUGGUGGUAGUGAAAGUUUGGUUCCAAGGCGUAAUCCUUCUCGGGGGAAGGUGGCGGCGAAGGGCGUGGUGUUGAAAAGCUCGGACGUUGUGAUCGAUAUCCCCGAUCAAGAUGAUGAGGACGAUAUAUUCGGGGACGAUCAGCUGUUUGAUGAGGAUGCUGGUGGCUAGAAGGAAGCGGAUGUUUAUGUGGAGACUGCUGUUGUGACUCCUGUCAUGCAGUCUAGUGAUCAGGGCCGACCCAAACAUCACUCCAAAAGUUUCCCAGAAGGAUGUUGGGUCUCCCUCGGGUGUUCAGACGUCCUUUACCAUAUCGGGCCCUAAUUGUGAUUCACUUGGCGCAUUGCACUCUGAGGAGUUCGGCUCAUAUACUGAUGAGAAGAUGAUUGCUGUCGUGCCCCUGUAUCGUGAUAUCGCGCCGGUCUUUGAUAAUUUGGCGUUGAAUCGGUCGAGGUUGGAGGCUGCACUCCGCCGACAAGAGAUUAGGAAGUUGGAAGCUGCUCUUCAGCAGGAGAAGGAACGAUCUCGUGAUCUGGAGAUCAAACUCGCCGAUGCGAAAGGGUCGUGCUAAGGAUCUGGAACGAGAUGUGCACAACCUCGGGCAAGAGGUGGAGCAGUGGAAGAAGGUUGAAGGCGAGACGAAGGUUAAGCUCCAAGCCUCCGAGUCGAGGUCCGAGCAUCUUUCUCAGCAGAUUGUGGACGAGAGAAACGCUCAUCAGAGCGAGCUUACUGAGGCGAUCAAUGCCGGUGUAAACGAGUACAUUGCGCAAAAGCGCCGCGAGGUUGCUCAGAGGAAGGGAGGGGUCGGUGCUGUUCCACCAAGGAGUUGAUCACGCCUUUUGUAGUGCUGCGCCACUAAUUUUCCCUUUGUUGCGGGUUGUAAUUCGUUUGAACACUUGUCCCAUGCUUCUUUGAACAAUUUAUUUAAAUGGGGUGCUGCGUCGCCAAGCUUGUUUUUCCUUUUCUAUUUUCCUUGACAAUUUCCGCCUUUUCCAUUGUGUUGACAAUUCUCUUGAUAAUUUCAGCCUUAUCUUGUUGUUUAUGUUA